rnacentral:rRNA from 1 species
GAUGAACGCUGGCGGCGUGCCUAAUACAUGCAAGUCGAGCGAACGGACGAGAAGCUUGCUUCUCUGAUGUUAGCGGCGGGCGUGUGAGUAACACGUGGAUAACCUACCUAUAAGACUGAGAUAACUUCGGGAAACCGGCGCUAAUCCCAGAUAAUAUUUUGAACCGCGUGGUUCAAAAGUAAAAGACGGUCUUGCGGUCUCUUAUAGCUGGAUCCGCGCUGCAUUAGGUAGUUGGUAAGGUCACGGCUUACCAAGGCAACGAUGCAUAGACGACCGGAGAGAGGGGUAGGCGACACUGGAACGGAGACACGGUCCAGACUCCUAAGAGACGCAGCAGUAGGGAAUCGGACGCAAUGGUCGAAAGUCUGACAGAGCAACGGCGAGUGAGAGAUGAAGGUCCUGCGAUCGUAAAACUCGGUUAUUAGGGAAGAACAGAUUUGUAAGGAGCUGUGCACAUCUUGACGGUAACUAAUCAGAAAGCCACGGCUAACUACGUG